UAAGCAAAAGCCAAAUCAGAGGCACCUAGCUGUUAAUUAGGAGAUUGUAAUAUAAUAAUUACUUGUUUAG
rnacentral:tRNA from 1 species